rnacentral:rRNA from 1 species
UACGUAGGCAGCAAGCGUUGUUCGGAGUUACUGGGCGUAAAGGGUGCGUAGGCGGCCCUGUAAGUAUGGUGUGAAAUCUCCCGGCUUAACUGGGAGGGUGCGCUAUAGACUGGCGGGCUCGAGUGGUGGGAGAGGAAAGUGGAAUUCCUGGUGUAGCGGUGAAAUGCGUAGAUAUCAGAAGGAACACCGGUGGUGUAAACGGCUUUCUGGACCAUAAACUGACGCUGGAGGCACGAAAGCGUGGGUAGCAAACAGG